UACGGAGGAUCCAAGCGUUAUCCGGAUUUAUUGGGUUUAAAGGGUGCGUAGGCGGCUUAUUAAGUCAGGGGUGAAAGACGGUGGCUCAACCAUCGCAGUGCCCUUGAUACUGAUGGGCUUGAAUACACUUGAGGUAGGCGGAAUGUGACAAGUAGCGGUGAAAUGCAUAGAUAUGUCACAGAACACCAAUUGCGAAGGCAGCUUACUAAGGUGCAAUUGACGCUGAGGCACGAAAGCGUGGGGAUCAAACAGG
rnacentral:rRNA from 1 species